UCCCGCCUCCGCCCGCCGCCAUGGCGGCCUUCCCCCGCCACCGCCGCUUUCUGGGCGGCUUCGUCUGCGGGGCCGCGGCGGGCACCGCCGUGUCGUGCUGGGCUGCGUGGCGGCUCCUCCGCAGCCAAAGCCAGCCGGAGCCGGUCCCCGGGCGAGCCUUGCCAGAGGAACCAGUAGAAGAGUCUCUGCUGGAAAAAUAUGGAUUCCCUGAAGCUGGAACAGAGACCAGAUGUUACACAAAUCAUGCACUGUCUUAUGACCAGGCAAAACGGGUGCCUAGAUGGGUGAUUGAACAUAUUUCAAAACAGAAGACACUGGGCAAUGCAGACCGAAGGCACUGUAAAUUCAGACCAGAUCCUAACAUCCCUCUAAUGUUUAGUGCUGUCAAUGAAGACUACCUUGGGAGUGGAUGGUCACGAGGACACAUGGCACCAGCAGGAGAUAACAAAUUUUCAACAAGAGCUAUGGCUGAAACAUUUUACCUGUCUAACAUCGUGCCUCAGAAUUAUGAAAAUAAUGCUGGAUUUUGGAACAGAAUGGAAAUGUAUUGUCGGGAAUUGACUGAGAGAUUUGAGGAUGUUUGGGUAGUUUCUGGACCUCUGACCUUGCCUCAAACAAAUGAUGAUGGAAAGAAGAGUGUUACUUACCAGGUAAUUGGAAAGGAUGAUGUAGCUGUGCCAUCCCACCUCUACAAGGUGAUCCUUGCCAGACGGAGCAGAAAGUCUACAGAACCCUUGGUACUGGGGGCUUUUGUGGUGCCAAACGAUCCCAUAGGCUUCAGUCACCAGCUGACUGACUUCCAAAGUAGAAGCAGAGUUUAUACAAGUUACUACCAGUGCAGACUGAGUCUUCAUAAAUUGAUAACAUGGGAGAUGUCGGUGUGUGUUGCCUAGAGUAACGAAGUGCCAGAUACUUCAUGUGCCUCUUAAUGGUCUUGUGUGUGCUUCACUGGAGUCCAAGCAACAUUUUGGCACUGCGAUGGUGUCAUCCUUUGGAAAAGCUGAGAGGUUACAGAUCUCGUGCAGUGCUCACACACCUACGGACAGCCGAAACAGAUCUCGGUGCUACAGACACGUACCUGUCUAGCAAAAAUCCUGUGUUGAGACAGCACCAGUUGUAUGCGAGGAACUCCAGGUGUCUUCCCUUUCUGCUGACAGCUUGCCAUUACAACAGCAGAAGUGCCGACUGUGACUUUCCGGCGGAGGCCUGCUAUGGAGACCAGCUGCUCCCUAACUCAGUACCUCCUCGGGCUUACGUGCCCCCUUGAAUUCCUGCAAUCCCCAAUUACCAUAAUUUUCAUGCCUCACGGCUUACUGCAUAGACUAGACUCCCUACAUAAUUUUCAGCUCUGUUUGAGCAUGGUUGGUGUUCCUCAGCUCCCGUUGGAGGGUGGCAGCAGGUGGUGAACGGUGAAACCACUUCCAGCACUGGUCUGUGCCGAAGAGUACGUUGACCUGCUCGUCUUCUGCUGGUUUCCUCAUCUGAAAUAACUGUGGAGUCUGGCAUAUAGCAAAAAAAUGUGCCUUCUUUACAAUAGGAAAUAUAAGACAAGGAACAGCAAGGGGGUGAGGCUUUACACACUUGUUUGAGCCGCCUAUGUAAGUAGUUGCUUCAAGAUCCUUCAUGAGAACUGUGCUCGUGUCCGUGUCCAUCUGUCAUUCCUGUUGCACACUUAAUCACUUCCCUGCGUGCAUCUGUAGUGACAAUACAAACCUCUGUGAUGCAGCUAAGCAGCAGGAGUCCUGGAAAUGGACAGGUUUUGACAAUAAUGUUUGAAAGUGCCUUUAGAUUGACCACCCAAGUAUCUGCUCCGAAGACAAUUUUGACUCCAGCUUCAUGAAUCUCAUUCUAGGUGAGGAUUUAGCCCUGCACUGAUGUCUUCCAAUGCUAUUGUUUUGCAUCUGUAAACAUAGUUUGGGGGCUGAGAGGUGGAAUUUAAAGUUCUGCUUUUUAUUUUUGUGUGGUUGGUUCACUUUGGAGCACCGUUUUGCAAUUUUCAGUUUGUCUUGUAAUAGUAAAGAUGGAUCUCAUUAGCUACUUGUGCUAUGUGCUGCACUAACCUGUGGAGAAACAGCCCCUGUCCUGAAAAAGUAACACAUAUUAGAUAACUGCAGGCAACAACUGGAAGGGGAGAAGCUACACACCCAGAAAUCUGAGGAUUUCUUUCAUCAAAGGGCUUCAGAAGUGCUGCAACACCCACCUUUGAGUGUCCUUUCCGCCACUGGAAUCAUCUCCCUGAGGGAGACACUCAAGUGUCCUGUAAAAUAAAUGGAGGCAAGUAGGUAAGAAAACCCAGGAUUUGCAAAAGCUGCUUGUCUGGCCAGUAGUGAUUGCUGGAGAUGGGCACUGGGUUUCUCUGAGGGUUUUCAGUCCUGAGCCUUUUUUUGGAAUUGGCUAGACAAGCUGGGCCUCUGUCAUGGAAAACCAUUAAAUAGAGGUACUUCUGCCAGUACACCACCUGUUUGAGCGAGAUGUCCAAGCAGACACACUUUUCACAGCCUGCUCUGAUUCAGUUCACGGACUUGAAACCACUGAUCUUUCUAGUGGAAACUUCCAGUUUGUACAAACCCUACCAAACUGGCCAGCUAGGGCUGUGCUGUCCCCAGGCUGCUCACCAGAGGAGCAGCCACGUCAGCCCCAGAGGAUUUGAAGAAGGUCUCCUGCCUGCCAGGCACCCUUGUCAUCUGUGCUGGUGGGUGGAAUGGGUUGCUGAAAUAGGGCAGCCUUGCUUUGGCUGCGUUUGGUGGGAAGUCUCCAUGGUGAAGGAGCUCCAAAGACGCGUCCCAGGUAGGGCCAGUCAGGUGGGUAAACCAGAGCUGCUUGAAGAUGGGACGGCAGAGGAACAGGGAGAGAUUUGUUUGGUGGCAGCUUGCAGAGAGGUGGGGACCUCUGGUACUGUAAUGCCUGGAUCUCUUUAUGUGUUUAACCCGUGCCAGCCUGUGUGAAGAAAACCCCAAACCCUCCUGUGCCCAUCCUGGUCCUGUGUGUUUGUUGGCCAGCAGUGAAGCUAUGGAGGCAUUAUAUAUAAACCCCAAAGUGCUCUUGCUAGUAACCUGGCUCAGUGGGGAAGUGAGGAGCAAUUUUGCUGUUAUUUUUGAAUUGUCUUCUCCUGCAGUCACACAGGAAAAGCUUUUCUCACCAUGCAGCAAAGGAAAUGUAGGAAAUGUUCCUUUUUUUUUUUUUUUGAUUCAGGUCCAUCUAAUCAGCUCCACCUACACAGUGGUGGUAUAGCCAGUUCUCACAUGCUUCCUAAUAGCCAUCUGCCUGUGCAAUUAAUGGCUUGUCUGCUUUUACCAUAGCUUGGAGGAAACGACUGAACAAGAGCUUUGAGUAUUUGCUUAAAAUAUCUGCAGUGUCUGUGUGGAUGCUCCAGGAUGGAUGCUCAGCGCAGGCUACGAACAACCCCCACUUUCCCGUAUUGUAAAAUAUUAGAGCAACUGGCCUUUUCCACCCUGCCUUUCAAACAGAGCACAUUUCCCACCUGCCGUGUGAAAAAUUAACAGCUGUGGCAACAUAAUAUUCCCAAAAUGCUCGCUUCCAGGAGCUGAACGCGAGCCUUUUCACGUUGGUUUGAGAGGUACGAUGGCUGGCAUCCCAGCUUCCCCGCUGGUGCGUUCAGCGGGUGGGGAGAGAUGUGGAAAACAGGUCUGGAAUGAACUGCUUCCAGCUCUGCUUAAGAAACAGUGUGGAGGUAUUUAGCAGAUCACAGAGGUAAAUUUGGUUUGUGUCAAGAAUAAAUAUUUCACAAGACAGCAAAUAAAGUCCUGUGCAAGUUUUCCCUAGCAGCUCUCAGCAGCCGAUGAGGCAGGGCUCGGCAUCGAGCAGGCUGGAGCUGGGGAGGGAAUGGGAGCACCCGCCAAGCUGCUGGUGCCCAACAGCUGUAAGUCCUGUCCCAUCUUUGCAUGGAUCCAUCCAUCUGGAGGAAGACCAGCCCGUCUCCCUGCCAGCCUCCUUUUACUCCCAUGCAUUAAGAAAAAUAUGUGUUCCUCACCCCAUGGCUGGUUUGCGACCCAGCCAAUGCUCUUUGGUUUGCAGUGCCUCCAAAAGCGGGGUGGCCGUGGCCGAGCACCUGGGGAGCCACAGUGGGACACAAAGCGUGGUGAAAUGAAACCAUAGCUGGAUUAGACAGCCUGGCUGUACAAGUGGGCUUGAGCUUGGAUUUGAUUACCGGAGUGUCAUAAUAUGCAAGGUAAGCUAAAACAGAAGGGAUGAAAGCACGGCGAGAAAGCUGACCUAACUGAUGGCAGCGCUAGAGGGGAGGAUGCCGAAUCGUGUCCCUCAGCCAUCAGCAGGUCCCUUGGGUUGAACCUGAGCUGCUUCAGCAGCAGCUGAAGGACCUUCUGCAGAACAUCAGCCCUGUGAUACCGCUCUGCGAGGUGGACAGGUAGGCUUAUCACCCUAUGCCUGCGCAUGCAGAUACAUAUGCUGGUCCCAAAAGGAGAUGGGCAAGAGAUGGAAGAAGGCUUGCUGCAAGCACUGCAGCUGUGAUACACGCAGUCUGUUUCCUUUCAUCACAUGUGACUUCAUUUUUCAGUCUCUUCCAGCUCUGGGUACUGAGCCUUCAGCCUUUACCUGUCUUUAUCUUAUCUGCACCUCCAUAGGCUGAAUUUCAUCAUCUGCAAGGAGACACCACUCCUUUCCCAUUCCUGUGAAGGAGGGAAGGGGAGACAAUAUAACCACUAUCCUGCUUAUUUAUCUGGGACAUAGUUUUACACCUAACUGAGGUCACCUCAAGCUGUGAUGUGCAGCAGCUGGAGCUCCAGAAAAAGGCAUCCUGUAAUGUCAAACGUGUAACAGGGAAAAGCUGCGCAGGGAGAAGCUGUGCAGGAGCAGUGAAAGGUUGCAGCAGAAUUUCCUCAUCCUCCCUUGUCCCAGCUCCAGUCUUCAG